rnacentral:rRNA from 1 species
UUGACCUCAAAUCAGGUAGGACUACCCGCUGAACUUAAGCAUAUCAAUAAGCGGAGGAAAAGAAACUAACAAGGAUUCCCCUAGUAACUGCGAGUGAAGCGGGAAAAGCUCAAAUUUAAAAUCUGGCGGUCUUGCGGCCGUCCGAGUUGUAAUCUGGAGAAGCGUUUAUCCGCGUCGGACCGUGUACAAGUCUUCUGGAAGGGAGCGUCGUAGAGGGUGAGAAUCCCGUCUUUGACACGGACAACCGGUGCUUUUGUGAUGCGCUCUCGAAGAGUCGAGU